GAUGAACGCUGGCGGCGUGCUUAACACAUGCAAGUCGAACGGAAAGGCCACAGCUUGCUGUGGUACUCGAGUGGCGAACGGGUGAGUAACACGUGGGUGAUCUGCCCUGUACUUCGGGAUAAGCUUGGGAAACUGGGUCUAAUACCGGAUAGGAAUCACAUGUGGGUGUGUGGUUGGAAAGCUUUUGCGGUAUGGGAUGAGCUCGCGGCCUAUCAGCUUGUUGGUGGGGUAAUGGCCUACCAAGGCGUCGACGGGUAGCCGGCCUGGGAGGGUGUACGGCCACAGUGGGACUGGGAUACGGCCCAGACUCCUACGGGAGGCAGCAGUGGGGAAUAUUGCACAAUGGGCGCAAGCCUGAUGCAGCGACGCCGCGUGGGGGAUGACGGCCUUCGGGUUGUAAACUCCUUUCGUCAGGGACGAAGCGAAAGUGACGGUACCUGGAUAAGAAGCACCGGCUAACUACGU
rnacentral:rRNA from 1 species